ensembl:snRNA U5 U5 spliceosomal RNA
GAACUCUGGUUUCUCUUCAGGUUCUAUAAAUCUCUUGCCUUUUACUAAAGAUUUCCAUGAAGAGCAACAGUUUAUUCUUAGCAGCCUUCCACUAUUUAAACGGGGCCUCCAGAAAAGGUAGCA